rnacentral:tRNA from 1 species
AAGGAUUUAAGUUAAAAAAAAAUAAACUAGUAACCUUCAAAGUUAAAAAUAGAGCAAUAUUCUAAGCCUUA